rnacentral:siRNA from 1 species
GGUAAAGGUGGGUAUCUCCCUA